GGUGGCUCCACCAGAGCAGAGCCAGCAGCAGCCCUGGCAGCACCUCCCAUGGUUAAUAAAGGGCAAAAGUGGCCAGGAGGAGUGAUGGGGGGAUAAAAAAAGUCUUGUGAAGAAAGCAAUCUGAGGACCAUGCAUCCGUGACUCCUGGAACCAGCCUGUGAGCCAGGGCGAUGGAAGCUCUAGAGGGCCUCCAGCGUACUGCUUCCGUGAGCAUUCCCAAUGGAUAUGCCAACAGGAUUUUCCAAGGAAACAUGGAGGGAGGGAGCACCGAUGCCUUGGAGGCCUGUGGUGCUGAGCACUGCGCCUCCGGCGACGCGAUCCCCGGUGAGCAGGAGGAAACACACAGGUUUAAGAAGACAACCAAGGGCAGCCGGAUCUGGAAUUUCGUCAGACGCAGGAAAGGACUCGCUACGAAUAAAGACAGACCCCAGUCGAUGAUUUUGCUGGGAGUUGCCUCUGAGGUCUCAGAAUUAAAAAAGCCAUCCUUCAUGGAGAGGGUACGCUCGUCAAAAAAGGGGAGAUCCUCCAGGACAGCCAAGAACGUGGAUUUGAGAGCAUCCAGAGUGCAGGAUGUGUGUGACCCUGAGGAGGACCUUCACUGCAGUGGGCAGAGAGCUGUCUACAGGGUUAAGAAGCUGGGCGAUGGCCGGAGACCCUCCCGUCACUCGUACGCGGGGUACAUCGAGGAUCUGGACUCUUCUUUUGAGGACAUAGAGCUGAACAUCAGCAUUCCUGAACUCGAUACCACUGAAAGUAAAUGUCUCAGGGAUAUUAGUGGCAGAUUACACGGUGAGGAUAAUGAUGGUAACUGCCACAGAAUAGCAGCCAGGAAGAGCGAGUCUUUGAAUUAUGAACACGUUAAGAGUCCUGCAAUUACAGAAGGGGACAAUCAAAAGAGGUGUGCUGUGCUCCCACAGGAGAGCAGGAGAGGAAGGAGCUCUGAUGUCUGGAGCUAUCUGAAAGGAAUUUCAUUAGCUAGCAAAGAUAAUUCAAAGCUCCCAGAUCAAAGGGCUGAAACCAAUUUCCAGAACUUAGAAAAUACAACCGAUCAUUCCGCUUCUUACUUUGACUUUGAUACGAGAUGUGAGGAGAAUCUCAGCCAGCGAAAGAAAUCAAACGGUGCCGCCAAAGCCACUCACUUUGGGGGUGUUGUGAGGUUCUUAAGCAGCGUGGCUGAGGCAGCUCGGCGGCUGCGAGGCUCCUCGAGGGCGUUUUCCCCCGAUGAGAAGAGGCCUCAGCGCAGUUUCCGAGGCCGCAGACAGGAUGUUGCCUCCCCCAAAGAGGGUUUGGUUAUCGAGAACGAGAGCGCAAAGGCCUUUUGCACGGUGGGAGCCUGUCUGCAGUCCCCGGAUUCAGGCACAUGGGAGAACCUGAGCUUUGAGAGCUUGGCGGGGAAGGAGCCCGUGCAGCACUGCAAAACCACAGAUGGGCUGAACGGCCUUGGUUCCUCUGGCCUGGACAGUGGCAAUGACAGGCUUAAUGAAACCUCACUUCCUCCCUUUGGGCCAGAACCAUCCAUGUCCCAGCUGGCAGAGCUGGCAGAUGGCUCUUUCACUGAGCUGAACAGCAAAGAUCCCUCUGAGGAUCUGGUUGAACUUCCACAGAAAACUCUGGCUGAACCGAUUCAGGACUUGGGCACGACGCCAGAGAAGAGCCAGGUCGUGGCCAGGGACCUGCUGCCUUCUCCUGAUCUUCCUGUGACUAGUCUGGAUACUGGGGACCUGGGCCGUUCUCCAGCUGCCAGAGGGGACUUUUCUGCAGAAACUGAAGUGCAGACCCACCUCCCACAGGCAUCGCAAACUAAAUAUGAUUCUGGGGAUGUGGCUUGUGCCCCAGUGGUUGCUAAAGACAUGGAUCCAUCUCCAGCAGUUGCUCAGGAGCUUUCAGAGACAGAACUGGAUAAUCAGGACUUGAGGAAUCCUGAGCUGCCUUUGCAAAACUUGUCUGGAGGUGAGUUGGAGGUUCAAGACAGUGGCAGUACCCUGGAGAGGGUCGUGGGCAGAGAUCUGCCACCUUCUCUUGAUCUUCCUGCCAGUAAUCUGGAUGCUGCAGAUCUGGGCUCUUCUCCAGCUGCUGAUGGUGCCUUUCCUGCAGUGACUGAGGCUCAGACCCACCUUCCACAGACAUCACUGACUAAACUUGAUACCGAGGACAUGGCUUGUGCCCCAGUGAUUGCUAAAGACACGGAUCCAUCUCCAGCUGUGGCUCAGGAAAUUUCAAGGACAGAACUGGAUAAUCAGGACUUGAGAAAUCCUGAGCUGCCUUUGCAAGACUUGUUGGGAGGUGAGCUGGGGAUUCAGGACUCGGGCAGUACUCCAGAGACAUCACAGGCUGUGGGCAGAGAUGUGCCACCUUCUCCUGAUCUUCCUGUGAAUAAGCUGGGUACUGUGGACUUGGGCCAUUCCCCAGCUGCCAAUGGUGACUUCUCUGCAGCACCUGAGGCUCUGAUCCACCUUUCGCAGGCAGCUCUGACUGAGGAGAGCCAAGACACUGUCAGUUCUCUGGAGAAGGGUCUGGUGAUGGGCAGGGACCUGCCACCUUCUCACAACAUUCCCGAGAACGUUCUGGAUGCUGCGGACAUGGGCUGUUCCGCAGUUGCCGACGUGGACUUUUCUGUAGUGACUUUUUUAAAGUGUUCCACAGUGAAAAGGCAGGGUUUGGAACAGCAUGGUGGCCGCAUUAAAACGCGGGGAACCGCUUCAUUUGUGGAGCAAAACUCUGUGGAGGUCAUGGACAGAGUGGAAGAGUUUGAGUGCAGCACAGAGUGCAGGCCCUUCCAAGUGCACGUCUCGAGGAUUGUCUCUUCCGGACGCCUCAAAAAUGGAAAGCCAACAUCUCAUCCUGCACAGCCGUCCCCACAAGCAGAGCCCUUCAAGGCGCUGGUGGAGCGCUGCCGCUCCGAGCCCCUCUCGCAGAGCACCCCCAUGGGGCUGGACCAGCUGGGAGGGCGCAUGCAGCACCUGCUGCGCAGACGUGCUGAGAACGAACAGGCUUCAAAGACCCUGAAGGUGCGCGGGAACUGCCGGAACGGUGGCCGUCGAUGGAACCUCUUCAAGCCUGGAGCUGAGAAGCUGCAGAUCAGUCGGCUGAUCAGUGGUGGUUCCAUUGUCAGUGCUGAGGCAGUAUGGGAUCACGUCACCAUGGCCAACCGGGAGUUGGCGUUUAAAGCAGGAGACGUCAUCAAGGUCCUGGAUGCUUCCAACAAGGACUGGUGGUGGGGUCAGAUCGAUGAUGAGGAAGGAUGGUUUCCCGCCAGCUUCGUGAGGCUGUGGGUGAACCAGGAGGAUGGGGUGGAGGAGGGAACCAGCGAGGUGCAGAAUGGGCACCUGGACCCCAGCGCCGACUGCCUGUGCCUGGGCAGGACCGUGCAGAACCGCGACCAGAUGAGAGCCAACGUCAUCAACGAGAUCAUGAGCACCGAGCGCCACUACAUCAAACACCUCAAGGACAUCUGUGAGGGUUACCUAAAGCAGUGCCGGAAGAGGAGGGACAUGUUCAGUGAUGAGCAGCUGAAAAUCAUCUUUGGGAACAUCGAAGACAUCUACAGAUUUCAGAUGGGAUUUGUGCGGGACCUGGAGAAGCAGUACAACAACGAGGACCCCCAUCUCAGUGAGAUUGGGCCCUGCUUCCUGGAACACCAAGAUGGCUUCUGGAUCUACUCAGAGUACUGUAACAACCACCUGGACGCGUGCAUGGAGCUCUCCAAGCUGAUGAAGGACAGCAGGUACCAGCACUUCUUCGAGGCGUGCCGCCUGCUGCAGCAGAUGAUCGACAUCGCCAUCGACGGCUUCCUGCUGACGCCCGUGCAGAAGAUCUGCAAGUACCCCCUGCAGCUGGCAGAGCUGCUCAAGUACACGGCCCAGGAGCACAGUGACUACAGGUACGUGGCCGCUGCCCUCGCCGUCAUGAGGAACGUGACCCUCCAGAUCAACGAGCGCAAGCGGAGGCUGGAGAACAUCGACAAGAUAGCUCAGUGGCAGGCCUCUGUCCUGGACUGGGAGGGAGACGAUAUCUUGGACCGCAGCUCGGAGCUGAUCUACACGGGAGAGAUGUCCUGGAUUUACCAGCCUUAUGGACGGAACCAGCAGCGAGUUUUCUUUCUCUUUGAUCACCAGAUGGUUCUCUGCAAGAAGGAUCUGAUCCGAAGGGAUAUCCUGUAUUACAAAGGGCGCAUAGACAUGGAUAAAUAUGAAGUGGUGGAUAUAGAAGAUGGGAGAGAUGAUGACUUCAAUGUCAGCAUGAAGAAUGCCUUCAAACUGCAUAACAAGGAGACUGAGGAAAUGCACUUAUUCUUUGCCAAGAAACUGGAGGAGAAGUUACGAUGGCUUAGAGCUUUCAGAGAAGAAAGGAAGAUGGUAAAAGAAGAUGAAAAGAUAGGCUUUGAAAUUUCUGAGAAUCAAAAGCGGCAAGCGGCAAUGACAGUAAAGAAAGUCAGUAAGCAAAAAGCACCUUCCCAGCCGAGGAUCUCAAAGUGUUUUACAAACAUUAAUUAAUUUAGCUUCACAACCCUCCUGUGAGGUAGGUGGGGGAUGCCGUCCCGCUGUCCAGAUGAGGACACUGAGCUGCUCGGGGACAGUGGCCUCGCUGCUGUGGUUAAAGCCCGGGGAGGCGACGGCCCCCUCCCGCAGAAGGAAGAGCAGUUCUGCAUGAUCCAGAGAUGGCCAGAGCUUACAGCAAGCUGCUCCACAGCCCUGCUCCUCUCUCCUUCCUGCAGUCACGGUUUCCAGCCGGCCCCGCUGCCCCGAGGCUGAAGGAGGGGUUGUCCUUGUGGGGAAGGACAUCCAGACUGUGUCACUGUGCCCUGUAGGCUGCGCUCUGGUGGUGACACACAUCCUUUCUGUUCCACUUCAGCCACCCAGAGCCACCCUUUACACGCCAUCCUUCACAGCAGGACGCUGAAGGCCCCUCGUUCGUGGGGAAGCUGCAAGGGCAGCAUCCCCUCUCCCCAGUGCUGUGUGGGAAUGGAACAUCUCAGCCCUAAAAGCGUAGCCUCGCCAUCCAUUGCUGCCAGUUUGGAUUGAGCAGAGUCAGCCUUUUCUGCCUUGUGUGCAGCCGUUUUUGGGCUGAGACCAGACUGGUGAAUUGAGAACAAACCCUAUGGAAAAGUCCUAAAUGUCCCAAAAGAACGAGUUGCCCUCUGUGUAGGCGCAUCCCUGCAGGGCAGGGCUUCUCCCACGGCAGCCCUGCUCCGUUCCGUGCGGGAAGCGGAGCGGGGUGGCACUCAGGGUCGUGCUCGGGGCCGGUCAGCGGGGCAUGUCGGGGCAAGGCUGUUCUCCAGGGAGAGCUGGGAGCUGGGAGGGAGAGCAGGAGCUCGAGCAGGAGCCGUUCGAUCCGAGCGGGAUGAGUUGGCCUCGGCGGGGCAGGGCCUGUCGCGGCUCUCCUCGCUCACACAGGACUUUUCCAUGAGGGCGGGCAGAACUCUGCCCAACAAAAGUAAUGGAUCCUGUCCCAGCCGUGGAGCUUUGGCGUAGGGAGGCAGCCUCGGAGCCCAGAGGUCAGGCAGGUUCUGGAGAUUGGCCAGCCCUGGCACGUGCUGGCGCGUGGGACCCGGUUACGGAGCGAUAAGGAGCGAUAAGGAGCAGUAGCAUGACGAAGAACGACUAUUGACCCGAUUGCUCUUUGACUGAUCUGUUUCUUUUUCCCCCCAAUCAUCGAUGCAGGUGUGAGCUACUCCAAGUCGGUUCCUCCAGCCUACCCACCACCCCAGGAUCCAUUAAAUCAGGGACAAUACAUGGUGACAGAUGGCAUAUCCCAGUCCCAGGUCUUCGAGUUCACCGAACCCAGACGCAGCCAGGCACCAUUCUGGCAAAACUUCAGCAGAGAGUGAGAAUGAGACAUCCAUAAUUUUUAUGAGAAGAUGCUUCCUAAAUAUUCAGCACUAGGAAAAAAGAAACACCACCGCCACACCAUUAUUUGCAUCAUAAAUCAAGAUCUGACAAGGCCACUUGUUGGACUCGCAGCUUCUUUGUUAAGUGGGAAGCCCGCCCGGGGCAGCGCCGCUGGUGCUGGCGCUGGCACAGCGGCCGCAGGGACGAGGGGCUUGGCUCUCGGGCCUUCAAGAAAGCUCUUGCCCUCCAUAAAUUGCCGAGGUGCUGCGGGAGAUGGAGCAUUGGCACAAAGAAGAAGCAGCACUGGGGUGCCAGUGUUGUCCCACUGCUGUGGCUGUCCCAGCAGGGAGCGGGGCUGGAGCGCGCCUGGGAGCAGCGCCCGUGCAGAUGGGGGUGACUUGACUGAGCAUCUGGUACAGACUUUUCAUUCCAAUGCCAGACAGGAGGAACCCACUUCCCAUUCCAUAUGCAGAAACAAGAGAGUUGUAACAAACUUACAUGUUUACGGUAUUUCUCUGGCUGAAUCUAUAUAUAUAUAUAUAUAUAUAUAAAAAAACAAACAAAUAAAAAGAAACCCUCUUCCCUAGGUAAAUGACAUGCAUUACCCUUAACCUAGACACUAGAACAGAGGAUCUAAAUUCAAGACUUUCGCCUCCCCACCCUCUCCAAAAAGUCAAACAAGAGCCAACCUAGGUGCAUCUAACAGUUGUAAAUAGAAAAUACUACAUAGAGAAAUAUAUUUGAAAUUUGUUUCAGUUUCUGGAUGGGCACCAGCUGUCCAUUGCAAUGUUAUUGAUAGUACACUGUGGUGCUUUGGGUUUCUGGUUUUGUUCUCUUUAUGCUCUGUCAUCUUUUCAUUGCAGCUACAUUUCAGGGAACAUGUAUAUUUAGUAGCUAUUGUAAGUUCUGCAUGGCAUCACCAAGCUUAUUUUUCCUUAAGAAGAAAAGAAGAGUCUGUAGGAGCUUAAAGGCACUAUGACGACAGGGACUUGUAGCAGAGAAUUUAAAAAAAAAAAGAAAAAAAAAAAAAAGAAAAAAAAAAAAAGGUUUUUAAAAUUCUAGUUUGAAGCCAAAUACUGAUAUUUUAGUGCUUUUGGGGUUUUAACAGUAAGAGCAAAAAAAAAAAAAAAAGAAAAAAAAAAAAGAAAAAAAGGAUUUUGGUAACCCAGCUGAUCCGCACUUGCCAGUUUUAUUAUUUUGUUUAUAUUGGACUGUUUGACCCUGUCAAACAAGUGUCAAAGUUGUGUGUAUAAAACAAACAAACAAAAAAAAGUGUUUAAAAAAGUGUUGUAAAGACACUGAGCCUUAUGAAAAUAUUUAUGGAAUUAAAUAAAAAGAAGUGAAAAGGCA